rnacentral:rRNA from 1 species
UACGUAGGGUGCGAGCGUUGUCCGGAAUUAUUGGGCGUAAAGAGCUUGUAGGCGGUUUGUCGCGUCUGCUGUGAAAUCUCAAGGCUCAACCUUGAGCUUGCAGUGGGUACGGGCAGACUAGAGUGUGGUAGGGGAGACUGGAAUUCCUGGUGUAGCGGUGAAAUGCGCAGAUAUCAGGAGGAAGACCAGUGCCGAAGGCGGGUCUCUGGACAGUUCCUGACGCUGAGGCACGAAGGUCAGGGGAGCAAACGGG